CUUCGUGCAUGUGGUUGUACACACCGCUACCGGCAACUCCUGCGUCCCACAUCUCAUAAUUUUGCUACAAGAAGAAAAGAAAGAAAAAAAAAAAAAACCACUUGACUAAAAUUGCCCACCUCCUCGCCCCCAGCCUGACACCAGUUGGAAAGUCCCAGGGAAAGCCUACGUGGACUCAGGUGGGGUGAGGGGCCCCAGGUGGGGGCACAUCCUCUGUCAUCCAGUCCCUGCUGGAAGCAGAAGGCUGCAGUAAGAAACAGUCUCCCCCAGGAAGAGGGGGGGGUCCCCAGAAAUGAGGAGGGCUCGGAAGCAGUCAGAGCGAUACGUGCUCACACCGAAGCAAAGGGGGUCAUUGUUCUUCUUGCGUCACUCCCCGGCAAGGAGGACUCAAGGCUAAGGGGGAAGCUCGUGGUGAAACCCACGUGUGGCCGACGUGGGGAACACAGUCCAGAACAGGUUGAAAGGCGUCUCUGCGUUGAAAGUGCUCGGCAAUAAAAGGCAGACUCUUUAAUGACUGAGCAACAAGGGAAGAUCUACAAGCAUGUGCUGGCUCUUCCUAAAAGGUGCUCCACCCAGCUGGGGCUGCCGGAAGCGCACAGGAGUGGACAGAGACAAGGAAACAGAAGCAGGGCCUGACCACAGAGAAUGCCCAGGAUCAGUUUAUUGACUUCCAAGGACUAUUAACCUUCUGGAGAAGGAAAAAAAAACCCUUUCUUGUAUCUAGGACCUGCUGGGUGCUAAUUUAAUGUGGCAAUGAGAUAAAAGUCCACUCAGACUGCUGUCAACCUCACUGGAUCGGAAUGCCGUCUACUUAGCAUAGAAGUCAAACAAUUCCCUGGCAAUAGAUUGCCUUCCACUUGUAGGUCUACUAAAUAAAUAGAAAAGUAAUUAACAGUGGGUGAUGGCAGAUAUAUCAGAGGGGAUUUCAUUACAGCAGAAGAACAGAGGGAACCAGGAAGUCACUUUGUGUCCCAGCGUCCGAUGGGGCUCUCAUGCUCCGUCUCUGCAAGGAAAGAAAUUUCAGAAUUUCCUAUCUUCAAUUUAAUCAACAGGGAAGAGAAAAAUCUGAAGUGCCUGAAAUUAGCCCCCAAAUAAAUAAUUCUCCUUAUUGUUCCAUUUAAUUAUUUUGGUCCUGGAACUUGUGGAUGAUGGUACAUUUUUUGUUGUAUUUUUGCUUUUCUUCCUUCCUUUCUUUUUUUGGGGGG